AGCUUGCUCCUUGAUUCAGCGGCGGACGGGUGAGUAAUGCCUAGGAAUCUGCCUGGUAGUGGGGGACAACGUUUCGAAAGGAACGCUAAUACCGCAUACGUCCUACGGGAGAAAGCAGGGGACCUUCGGGCCUUGCGCUAUCAGAUGAGCCUAGGUCGGAUUAGCUAGUUGGUGAGGUAAUGGCUCACCAAGGCGACGAUCCGUAACUGGUCUGAGAGGAUGAUCAGUCACACUGGAACUGAGACACGGUCCAGACUCCUACGGGAGGCAGCAGUGGGGAAUAUUGGACAAUGGGCGAAAGCCUGAUCCAGCCAUGCCGCGUGUGUGAAGAAGGUCUUCGGAUUGUAAAGCACUUUAAGUUGGGAGGAAGGGCAGUAAGCUAAUACCUUGCUGUUUUGACGUUACCGACAGAAUAAGCACCGGCUAACUCUGUGCCAGCAGCCGCGGUAAUACA
rnacentral:rRNA from 1 species